rnacentral:rRNA from 1 species
AGGAUCAUUACAAAUGUCUGGGAUGUCCAAUUUGGCUCCUAAGCAAACACUUCUAUGUGUACUCUCCCAUGUUGCUUCCCCAGACCAGUGGCCACUGCUGCCAGUCCGGCCUCUUAACGGGUUUCUGGUCUGAGAUGUCUGGGGAAGGUCCAUUAUUAAACUUUUAAACCAAUUGCCAGUCUGAGAAGGCCAUGUGCCGUAAUCUUUAAAACAUAUUAAAACUUUCAACAACGGAUCUCUUGGCUCUCGCAUCGAUGAAGAACGCAGCGAAAUGCGAUAAGUAAUGUGAAUUGCAGAAUUCAGUGAAUCAUCGAAUCUUUGAACGCACAUUGCGCCCUUUGGUAUUCCUUAGGGCAUACCUGUUCGAGCGUCACUAAAAACCAUCUCAUAUAUAAUGUGGUAUUGGUAGAAGUGGGUAGUAUUAAUAGUACUUUGUCUUACUCUACUGAAAUGCAUAGGCCAGAAAAGUGGACCAUGGUAACAGACUCUCAGAGUGUUUUAAAAUGCUAAAUUAGUCUUACCACAGUUGAUAUCUGAGCUACCGGAUCCCCAUUUAGUCCAAACCAGAGAGGUUGACCUCGGAUCAGGUAGGGAUACCCGCUGAACUUAAGCAUAUCAAUAAGCGGAGGAAAAGAAACCAACAGGGAUUGCCUUAGUAACGGCGAGUGAAGCGGCAAAAGCUCAAAUUUGAAAUCUGACA